CUUGUGGCCAUAUUACAAUGAAACACCAGUUCUUGUAUGAUAACCAAAGUUAAGCAACAUUGAGCCUGAUCAGUACUUACAUGGGUGACUGUUUGGGAAUACCAGGUGCUGAA